GCUUACGGCCAUACCAGCCUGGGUACGCCCGAUCUCGUCUGAUCUCGGAAGCUAAGCAGGGUCGGGCCUGGUUAGUACUUGGAUGGGAGACCGCCUGGGAAUACCAGGUGCUGUAAUCA
rnacentral:rRNA from 1 species